UGCAGUCGACGGGAUGGUCCCUUCGGGGACCGGCGAGUGGCGCACGGGUGAGUAACGCGUGGGGAUCUGCCCUGAAGUACGGAACAACCGCUGGAAACGGCGGCUAAUACCGUAUACGCCCCUUUUGGUGGUUCUUGAGGGGGAAAGCUUUAAGCGCUUUAGGAUGAACCCGCGUCGGAUUAGCUAGUUGGUGUGGUAACGGCGCACCAAGGCAUCGAUCCGUAGCUGGUCUGAGAGGAUGAUCAGCCACACUGGGACUGAGACACGGCCCAGACUCCUACGGGAGGCAGCAGUGGGGAAUAUUAGACAAUGGGCGCAAGCCUGAUCCAGCCAUGCCGCGUGAAUGAAGAAGGCCUUAGGGUUGUAAAGUUCUUUCACCCAUGAAGAUGAUGACGGUAAUGGGAGAAGAAGCCCCGGCUAACUCCGUGCCAGCAGCCGCGGUAAUACGGAGGGGGCAAGCGUUGUUCGGAAUUACUGGGCGUAAAGAGUUCGUAGGUGGUUAAAAAAAGUUGGUGGUGAAAUCCCGGAGCUUAACUCUGGAACUGCCAUCAAAACUUUUUAGCUAGAGUAUGAUAGAGGAAAGCAGAAUUUCUAGUGUAGAGGUGAAAUUCGUAGAUAUUAGAAAGAAUACCAAUUGCGAAGGCAGCUUUCUGGAUCAUUACUGACUCUGAGGAACGAAAGCAUGGGUAGCGAAGAGGAUUAGAUACCCUCGUAGUCCAUGCCGUAAACGAUGUGUGUUAGACGUUGGAAAUUUAUUUUCAGUGUCGCAGCGAAAGCGAUAAACACACCGCCUGGGGAGUACGACCGCAAGGUUAAAACUCAAAUGAAUUGACGGGGACCCGCACAAGUAGUGGAGCAUGUGGUUUAA
rnacentral:rRNA from 1 species